rnacentral:rRNA from 1 species
AGCAGUAGCCGCGGUAAUACGUAGGGUGCGAGCGUUAAUCGGAAUUACUGGGCGUAAAGCGUGCGCAGGCGGUUGUGUAAGACAGGUGUGAAAUCCCCGGGCUCAACCUGGGAAUGGCAGUGGAUACUGGCUCGCUAGAGUGUGUCAGAGGAUGGUGGAAUUCCCGGUGUAGCGGUGAAAUGCGUAGAGAUCGGGAGGAACAUCAGUGGCGAAGGCGGCCAUCUGGGACAACACUGACGCUGAGGCACGAAAGCGUGGGGAGCAAACAGGAUUAGAUACCCCGGUAGUCCCUGUCUCUUAUAC